rnacentral:lncRNA from 1 species
AGUGGGACCCGACCCUGUCUCCAGUGGGCGUCUUGGGCCCCGGCUCUAUUCUGGGCUGCGGGCCUGGGAAGGGCUCGCCGGGUGCCAAAUGAGCUGUCCUAACUCUGCGGGGCUGCAGCUUCCUGCAUGAUGCUGGGGAGCUUGGCGCCUGACCCAGGAUCUAGAAGGCACUCUGGGCAGGCCGCGCUCCGCCCACGAAGGUUUAACCACCAAGGACUCUGAGAGCUGGCAGGUCUGAGUAACCCUGGUAACAAUUCUCUUCACCUUAUCAAAACCUGAGCUAAAACCAAUGCAUCAGCUGAUGAUGACAGCAGAGAGUGGCAGGGCUGAGGACCCAAAGUCAUUUCCCAGGCUGGCGGAGAAUAAACUGCCAGGGAGAAGAAUGAGAAGACAGGAGACAAACUGUUUGGAAAGCUAAAUCUUCCCUCUUAAUGAAUAAAGGUUUUUGCCUUGUCUU